UUCUCUCUGCUUUCAGCUUCUUUACAGUGUUGCCUUGUGGCAUGGAGUUCAAGCAGCAUUGUACAGGGCUAUCAAAGCACAGAGAGC
ensembl:miRNA